GAUGAACGCUGGCGGCGUGCCUAAUACAUGCAAGUCGAGCGAACAGACGAGGAGCUUGCUCCUCUGACGUUAGCGGCGGACGGGUGAGUAACACGUGGAUAACCUACCUAUAAGACUGGGAUAACUUCGGGAAACCGGAGCUAAUACCGGAUAAUAUAUUGAACCGCAUGGUUCAAUAGUGAAAGACGGUUUUGCUGUCACUUAUAGAUUGAUCCGCGCCGCAUUAGCUAGUUGGUAAGGUAACGGCUUACCAAGGCAACGAUGCGUAGCCGACCUGAGAGGGUGAUCGGCCACACUGGAACUGAGACACGGUUCAGACUCCUACGGGAGGAAGCAGUAGGGAAUCUUCCGCAAUGGGCGAAAGCCUGACGGAGCAACGCCGCGUGAGUGAUGAAGGUCUUCGGAUCGUAAAACUCUGUUAUUAGGGAAGAACAAAUGUGUAAGUAACUAUGCACGUCUUGACGGUACCUAAUCAGAAAGCCACGGCUAACUACGUG
rnacentral:rRNA from 1 species